rnacentral:rRNA from 1 species
UACGGAGGAUGCAAGCGUUAUCCGGAAUGAUUGGGCGUAAAGCGUCCGCAGGUGGCUGUGUAAGUCUGCUGUCAAAGAGCGAAGCUCAACUUCGUAAAGGCAGUGGAAACUACACGGCUAGAGUGCGUUCGGGGCAGAGGGAAUUCCUGGUGUAGCGGUGAAAUGCGUAGAGAUCAGGAAGAACACCGGUGGCGAAGGCGCUCUGCUAGGCCGCAACUGACACUGAGGGACGAAAACUAGGGGAGCGAAUGGG